UCAAAGUAUCCAAUAAACAAAUGUGCCACUUAAGGACUAAAUGGAAGAUGUAUGAUGUUAAUCACAUUCAAGAUGCUUUUAGCUAACUUCCUUGCAAGCUUUCUUCUGGGUCCUUGGAUGUGACUAACAUAAAGAAAUAACCUCUGCUAAGCACCUACUUGCUUCUCUCUGUCUUUCCUCAGACUUUCAAAAGCAUAGAAUCAGAACUUUGAGGCGAGAAGUCUCAUGCAUAAAGAACAGAAGCAGGACUGAAAACAGCUCACAGACUUCACAGACUUUGAAGCCUGCUAAUCCUACACAGAACAAGGAUGAGUCCAAGCACCCUUCACAACCUGAUCCUGCACACUCAUAUGCUUUACUUAAUUCCUCCACACCUGGCUGCAGCUGAAUACCUGAACUUACUUUUUUCCAUUGACAUAGUAUGUGGGGUGAUGUGAAAAUUCUAUCUAUGGUGUUGGAUUGAGGAUGGGCCAUUCACAUACAUAAGUCAUUACUUAAUGAUGUGGUCAUCAUGUUCUCUGAGAUUUGAGUCAUCAAAUGAUGAAUGUGCAUCACUGAAAUAGGUCAACACCUUGUUCACAUAUUAGGUUAGAAGGUAUUCACCCCUUUGUUUCUGUGAAUGUGUAAAGACUACAAAGUGGUGGGUAGUUAUUGUACUCUAGUUUUGUUUUUAAAAUGUUGGUAAUGUCACUCUUAGAUAUAAAAUGGUACAUUACAAAUUAAGGCAGUUUCAUUACUUCCCAUACCAAAAUUUACUAUUUUCCAAAAUCUCACCUGAUCUGUGGAUCCUACUGCAGCUGCCAGAUCUAUAUAGAGCUGAUAUUAGAAUCCAAAGUUUGUUUGCUUAUAACUUUCUGUUAAGACUCUAUAUUCCUUUUUAGUUUGUUUAUAUAAACAACUCCAAAGUUCUUUAAAGUCAA